rnacentral:rRNA from 1 species
GACGAACGCUGGCGGCGUGCCUAACACAUGCAAGUCGAGCGAGUGAAUCUCCUUCGGGAGUGAAGCUAGCGGCGGACGGGUGAGUAACACGUGGGCAACCUGCCUCAUAGAGGGGAAUAGCCUUCCGAAAGGAAGAUUAAUACCGCAUAAGAUUGUAGCUUCGCAUGAAGUAGCAAUUAAAGGAGCAAUCCGCUAUGAGAUGGGCCCGCGGCGCAUUAGCUAGUUGGUGAGGUAACGGCUCACCAAGGCGACGAUGCGUAGCCGACCUGAGAGGGUGAUCGGCCACAUUGGGACUGAGACACGGCCCAGACUCCUACGGGAGGCAGCAGUGGGGAAUAUUGCACAAUGGGGGAAACCCUGAUGCAGCAACGCCGCGUGAGUGAUGACGGCCUUCGGGUUGUAAAGCUCUGUCUUCAGGGACGAUAAUGACGGUACCUGAGGAGGAAGCCACG